rnacentral:lncRNA from 1 species
UCUUAUGGCCGGCCAAGCAAGGGAACAAAGAGAAAAAGAGAAGAACAAACCCUAGGAAGGAAAAAUUCAAGAGAAAUUGUUGGAUUUUAAGGAAUCAAGCAAGUAAAGGUAAGAUUUUCAAUUUUAGCUUAAGAUUUACCUUACCCAUGCUUUCUUUUUCAUUUUCUAUGGAUGAAACACAAGUUUCCAUGAAGGAUUGCAUGCUGGCUGAACUUAGAGAGAGAGAUUUUGAUGGUGGAUUUUGCUAGAUUUCAUGAUAUCUUAGUGUUUUUAGUUGUUUGAUGAUGUUUGACAUGAAAAACAAGCAAGAAAAUCACAUGCCCUUCAACAACCCAUUUUGGCCGAAUUUUAUGGUGACAUAUUGAUGAUGGAUUUUGUUGUAUUUCAAGUUAUUUAGCUAGUAAUUGAUGAUUUAUGGUAUCGGAUAUUGAAAUCGGAAUGAAAUUCCAUUACGGUGAAUUAAGUCACAAUUAAGCUUAUUGAGGUACUUAGGUGUAUUUGGAAUUUUAGAAGUGAAAUGAAUAUAUUUGAAGUUGAAUCGGAUGUUUUGGUUAAUUUAACAGUGUAUAGUUUGAGUUAGGUCGACUACAAAUUCAGUCCGAUCAUAAUUGAACCCACGUAGAACACCGUCUUUAAGUGAUUAUUCAAACAAUUCUCACUCAAUUUCAUGCAUUCAUAUAGGCCUGAAAUAAUUUUAUAAUAGUUUGGCACGAAUAUAUUGAAUUAUGUGUUGUGUAUUAUGUAUAGGUGGUGAGCCUUCUGAUAAGGGUAAAGAUAUUGUACCCGAGGACCAAGAAUAGGAGUACUCCAAACUCCCGCUAUUGUGAGUAACAGACUUUCAUCUUAACUAUCUAAAGUUGUUUCUACUCGUUUUUAUGUUUUAAAGAAUAAUGAGUUUAAAUGGUAAAUUAUUUUGUUUUAAAAUUGAAUUGUUGGUUAAAUGAAAUGAGUUUUAUAACUUAUUUUGAAAUUGAAUACUGGUUUUGGAAAUUGAGUAAGUGGAGACUAUAUACUCGUGUUUUGAUAUAUGGUUUGAAUUAGUGGCUUAUGACAAUGUGAUGGCAUGAAUGGUUGGAUUUAUUUUUUUUGUGGAAUAUAUAAACUGUUUUGUUUUGUCGUGACACAGGCUGGAUAAUAUUAUAUUAGCCACGUCAUGCUGUUGAAAUGUUUAUUGAUUUGGUGGGUUAUUUGAUUAGCUUACUGUAUUGGGCGGGUUUCCGUGGACCAGCCUAUUAGAGGGGUAAGGUAAACCCCGUUAUAUUUUACCUUAGUAUGAGAGGCGCGGAAGGUAUCUUCUAAGGUAUAUUUAGAGUUCACUUCACACCGAACCACUACGUGAAGGUGAAACUCAGCCAACGCCAAGGAAUGACUACGUUUUUAAACGUAAAACAUGUUUUAUAUGUAUAUAUCGUUGUAACAGCCUUGACGGACUCGAUUAGAUGCUUGGGCCAAGGUGUCUCCGAGUGCGAGUUUUGGCACGAGCCAAGUUUUAAGAGAGUCAUAAGCCUUUCUGAUUUAUUUUGAUGAAAUGUAAUUAUUUUAUAUGAAUUGAAAUGAGUUUUGAAUGUUAUGAAUUAUAUUAUGAUGGGA